AACAAAGGUGUUCCAAUCUGGUGGUUAUGUCUGUUCCUUAUGCGAUGCUGAUGGUCCUGGGUUAUAUUCCGCAAUCUAUCAAGUAAUAUUUUGUACUUAGUUAUGACUUUAUAAUCUAACUACGUACUUUCUUGUCCGAGCUCUAACCUUGAGCGACUAUGUACGAUUCUCAUUAAAUUCUUUUUUACCCCUGAAAUAAUCUAAGUAUAUUUUUUAAAUAUUUUUCGGGAUUAGUAUUAAUUAUUUAUGGUUUCGAAUUUGGAAUAUAAAUAUUUACUUUUGGAUGUCAUGAUUGAGAUUUAUAAACAAAUGAUCUAUAGUAACUUUUGAACCCCUUUCUUGCUUUACUAAAAAAUUUCGUUAUGUCAAGAGGAUUCAAUUGUUUAUAUAUAACAAAAAAUAUUUAUUUCUAUUCAAAUUAUGCAAUAUAAUAUUUCUAACUAAGGGAAUUUAGUUGAAUCCCCUUUUCUCUACUUAGUUUCAUCUCUUUGUCUCAUUAUAGUAACUUGUUUAGUAAUUCAAUUCUUAAAAUAUCUAUACUGCUAUAUAAGAUCCUAAGUACGCUCCUGUAUAUUAAAAAAAAUUAUAUUUAAGUUAUGUACAUUAACAAUAUAAAUAUGUAAAAUUACAUUUGUUGUAGAAAUUUUAUAUGUAAUUACCUUAUAAUUGUCACAACUCUAUUCUAAAACUGUAAGCCAAACAAAAAAAUAGCAAUUGCAUUUUGAUUAAAGGAAUGAUUGUUGUUUAUUGUAAUUCAUGUAAUGAAUAAUAAGAGCUCGUUUGGCUUAGCUGAUUUAAAGUAACUAAUAAGCAUUGAAUGCUGAAAAAUACUUUUAAGUGUUGAAACUGAUUUAAAAAAUAAGUAGUUAUGUGUUUGAAAAAAAUUAUUGAAAUUAAUAAUAAGCAGUUGAAUAAUUAGGUAUAAGAAAAGUUUUAUUUUAAAAAAAAAUAUUUUAGGGACACAAUAAUAAAUAUUUGAUCAAACUUAAAGUAUUUAUAAGCUGAAAUUAAUAAGUUGGGGAUAUCAGCUUAUAUGGCUUUUGAGUUGUUUUUAGUUUAUAAUUACAUAGUACUUUUAAUUUUACCAAAAAGUAUAUAUAAGCCAAAUAGAUUUGAUGCUUAGCCAAACACCUCUCUAAGUACUAUAUUUUUGUAUUUACCUUGUGGAGGAACCAAACAAUUCUGCUUUCCGUUAGAGUGGCAAAGAUGAUGAUGGUCAUGCCGAUAGCAACAUUUACAGUAACCAGAAAAUUGCUUCUAACUUGAACAAUGCAAUUUUUGAGUUAUAUUUGUAAAAAGAGGCGCAGAAGAUGAAGAAAAGGGUGUCGGAGAAGGAACUAUGUGUCAUAUUCCCUAUUUCAGGUACUCAAUUGCUAGUGUUUUGGUACUUUUGUUAUUUGGGUAUCUUUGAGAAUGCACUUGUUUUUCACCCUGUAGGGUUGUGAGUUGGAAUUUCUGUUGCUACUUUGCAUUUCUGUUUACUUUUUUGUUAGAAAUCUUUGAGAAGUAUUAUUAGUUUAGCUUUUUCUUUUUUUGGUUAACUUGGUCAAGUUGGACUGGUACAAUUUCUCUGUUUCUAUGACUAGUGAGUAGUGGUGGAUGUAGGCUUUACAAUACGGGUUCCGGCAUAACACAGUAGAUUUGGUCCAAACUCCUUUAUAUUUUGUAAGAAAUCCACUAGAUAUGUGUAAAAAUUAUAUACAUAAACUAGCACUUGAUGUUGCUAUCCUAGAAUACAGAACCAUAAAGUUCAAACCCUGAAUUAGCCUCCGGAUGUGAGUGUAUCAUGGAGCUUUUAUUAUUUGGGAAUCAUUGUAAAAUUGCUCAUUUUCUUGAGCCGGUGGACUAUACUUGUUGCAAUCUACUGUUCUGUUAUGGAGAACCAGGAAUUUUGAGAUGAUUAUUAGAUGGUGUUGGUGAUAGCUGGAAUAAGUUUAGUUUACUGGUCAUUCUUCUUGAUUUUAGUUAACUCUUUAAAGCAAAAAUCUUUUAAUAUCUCUUGUUCGGUGUUGUGAUCUUCGUAAGAAAAUGCUGCUAAUAUUGUAUAAAUGAUUAUCUGUGUUUCAACAUUAUAUGAAAUACAAUGGAUCAAGGGAGAACAAGAAAAGAUCACAGUGGCAAUGUGAUUGAUUUACGGCUUGUAUAUGUUGGAAAUUUUCUUUUAUUAGUUGCUUGAUUUAUUUAGCGUUAGUAAGAAGUUCAGACUUCAGAGGGUAUUUUAGGACCACCAUCCCCAACAAACAUGCCCACGCUUCACAAAGAGCACGCAGUUGUGUGAAUUAGUUUGUCGCUUAAAUACGUAUUUGAAUUAACUCUCGUGCUACAAACUUAAAACCCAUGACUAGAAUUUCAAAUCUUUAAUCAGAUGUGAGAUAUUAUUCACUAGGCCUUUAACACAAACCACAGAGUGUGUAAGCACUUAGAGAGCUAUGCUUGGACUGUAUGCACUUUAUGAGUUUUUGAGAUUCUUGGAUUGAAGAUCAAAUGCUAUGGACAAGUGGAUAGUUUUCCAAUAUUAAAUAGCACAUUAUUUUGGACCAUGAGUUCCAUGAAGCUAUAAGUGGUUUCUAUUUGAUGCAGGUGAAAACUAAAGCCUUUACCCCUCUGAAGAAAAGUUUUUAUCCUUCUAUCAUUUGUGAUUUAUCUACUUUCUGCUUUCUAACAAUUCAUCUACAUCUCUAAGGAAUUGCUUGGAUGGAAUCUAUUUUACUCAUAUUUCUUUGGGUUUUUUCCUCUUCCUCUUGACUUGAGAAUGUUUGAGUCAAAUCUUACUGAUGACAAAUGGCCCGCUUACUCGUUUCUGCAUUUGAGUGUCUUGCGUGGUGCAAUGCACAGAUUGAACAGCGAGUCUUAUUCUGUAAACACAUCAUUAGGUGGUUUUCAGCAUACACAUGCUUAUCAGAUGGUAAACACUUACCUGCACUGGGUUUUAACACCAAAGUGAUUCAACUUUUCAUGUUUAAGUGGCUUAAUGAAGUGAAAAUAUGCAUUAGUUCACCAUAUUAGUGUAUGUUCAAAUACAUGUCAUGCAUCCAUUGGUUUUGUGUAAAAACCCGGUAUGUCUAAGUUUUUACCCUUAUCAGACUGUCCUUGCUCCUGUUCGAAUCUUGUUUACCUUCUGGUUUUAAGAGCAUACAGUUUUUUGUUGUGAGCCUGAAGGUUCCUUUAAUCUUAACCUUCUUCCUGAUUAUUUUACAAAUCAUUAUUCUAAGUUUUGAAAACCCUUUCCAUAUAAAACCUUACGUACUAAUGCUGAAUACAUUUGUACUGUAUGUUUAUUUGUCUGUUCACUUGUAUUGGAAUACCAGACCUCGUCACUGAACUGAUAAUUAGGUUGUUAAGUUUGAGCAAUUGUGGCUCAUAAAAGUUCCAGCAUAGCAAAGCCAGUUGUACUACAUCCCAAUUUCUUCUGUUUGCCAUGGGAAAAUCUGUUAAGCUGCAUAAUAUCUAGGCGAAAUUGUUUUAAGAAUAUAUUAAGAUGUUAUUAGUGCAUCUUUGAAUUAGUUUUUGUGAAAAGAUAAAAGUGAGAACAGACUAUUUUUGAGUUGGUGGUCAACAAAAUCCAAGGAGCUCUUUAUAUAGGAGUUUUGAGCUAUAAAAAAUAGGAUAGCUCCCGAAUUCUUGGAAUCCUGGAUUACAAUCAAGAACAUUCUACAGAGUCGCUCGAAUUGUGUCACCAAAAUGGUGAGCAGUCAUCAGAAAGAAAAACUGUGUAGGAAGUAGGAACUCUUUCCCCUGGAAAGUUCAUGGUAAUUGAAGCUAUGGAAGAAUUCUUAUUGUAGCACUGAUGGAAAAAUCUAUUCAGUCACCGGAGAAGGAACAGUAAAGCGAAGCUUUUUGAAAUUAUUGGUGUAACAUGAAUUGAUAUAUUAAAAAAAAUUCAAAGAAAUUGCUAGAAUACUGAUCGAAUUGGUACUCAAAAAUUGGCAAAAGAAUGCUGGAAAAGUGGGUUGGAGAAUAGCAGGAACACUGACUAAAUAGGGGUAGUGCCACUGGAGGGUUACUGGAAUAAGCAUGGUGCUGUUAGAAUGAUCACCAAAAAAAGAUGUGUGGUACUGCUGGAGUGGUUGACGAAAAGAAUGGUUACCAUGUUGGACAGAAUUCAAUAGACAGGGGAGCGGCUGAAACAAUAGCGAGAUAGAGGCACGGUGCCACUGAAACGAUCACUGGGAAGAGGAGCAGUCUGCUGAAAAAGUCACCAAAAGAGGAGUGAUGCCGCCAAAAUGAUCAAUAAAAGAGACACCAAUAAGAAGAUAAUAAAAAGCAAAAAGGAUUUUGGCAGAGCAAGCGGCAUAAGGCCACAGGCUUAUGUGAAGAAUUUACUGAAGUGUUUAGCAAUUACCUAGAGCGUUGAAAUGCAAUGUACAAAAUUAAAAGAGGAAAUAAAUUGGUUCCUUUAACAUCUACCAAGACCACUGAGGCUUUAAUACCAUAUAAAAAGAUGAAAGAGAGAAUAAUGCUUGUUGAAUUGGUGGUUAACAACAUGCAAGAGUGUUCAUAGUAUAAGAGUUUUGAGUAACUUGAAAUAAGUAAAGUUCAUUAAUUCAUGAGAUUCUUAAAUAAUUUUUAGUGAUUCUCUUGACUUUCCAAGUUACUAUAGAAUCAAGGGUUGUUUACUGCUUUACAGCUGUCAUACUCCAAGUUGCAUAUCAAAUGCAGGAAACUGUCAAGCUUGUUGAAGAAACAAGAAGCUCCAAACUAAACUCCAUAACUGAUCACACAACUAGCGUCAAGCUAAGCUCCAAUGUUAUAAAAAUAUUCCUGGUUGCAGAAAUCAAUAGGUGGAAUUCCAGAUACUG
rnacentral:lncRNA from 1 species